rnacentral:rRNA from 1 species
UACAGAGGGGGCAAGCGUUGUUCGGAAUUACUGGGCGUAAAGGGCGCGUAGGCGGCCUGUUAAGUCGAACGUGAAAUCCCCGGGCUCAACCCGGGAACUGCGUCCGAUACUGGCAGGCUUGAAUCCGGGAGAGGGAUGCGGAAUUCCAGGUGUAGCGGUGAAAUGCGUAGAUAUCUGGAGGAACACCGGUGGCGAAGGCGCAUCCUGGACCGGUAUUGACGCUGAGGCGCGAAAGCCAGGGGAGCAAACAGGG